GUCUACAGCCACACCACCCUGAACACACCCAGUCUUGUCUGAUCUCGGAAGCUAAGCCGGGUUGAGCCUGGUUAGUACUUGGAUGGAAGAAGCAUGGGGCCUCCAGGAAUGAAUAAU
rnacentral:rRNA from 1 species